rnacentral:rRNA from 1 species
ACAAGCGGUGGAGCAUGUGGUUUAAUUCGAAGCAACGCGAAGAACCUUACCAAAUCUUGACAUCCUUUGACAACUCUAGAGAUAGAGCCUUCCCCUUCGGGGGACAAAGUGACAGGUGGUGCAUGGUUGUCGUCAGCUCGUGUCGUGAGAUGUUGGGUUAAGUCCCGCAACGAGCGCAACCCUUAAGCUUAGUUGCCAUCAUUAAGUUGGGCACUCUAAGUUGACUGCCGGUGACAAACCGGAGGAAGGUGGGGAUGACGUCAAAUCAUCAUGCCCCUUAUGAUUUGGGCUACACACGUGCUACAAUGGACAAUACAAAGGGCAGCGAAACCGCGAGGUCAAGCAAAUCCCAUAAAGUUGUUCUCAGUUCGGAUUGUAGUCUGCAACUCGACUACAUGAAGCUGGAAUCGCUAGUAAUCGUAGAUCAGCAUGCUACGGUGAAUACGUUCCCGGGUCUUGUACACACCGCCCGUCACACCACGAGAGUUUGUAACACCCGAAGCCGGUGGAGUAACCUUUUAGGAGCUAGCCGUCGAAGGUGGGACAAAUGAUUGGGGUGAAGUCGUAACAAGGUAGCCGUAUCGGAAGGUGCGGCUGGAUCACCUCCUUUCUAAGGA